rnacentral:rRNA from 1 species
UUUCACGACCAUACCAUGCUGAAAGCACCGGUUCUCGUCCGAUCACCGCAGUUAAGCAACGUUGGGCCCGGUCAGUACUUGAGCCCCCAAAUGCCCUGGUACGGCCGAGAGUG